AAAUAUUGAAUUGUGAACUUGUUCUGUUCAGACAUGCGUUUAGGGCAAAAUAACGGCUAUACAAAGAAUAAAAGUAUACAUAUGGUCACUCUUUUUCACCCUUCCUUUACUAGUUCUCAAUUUUCUCUCUUUAGAACCAAAUUAUGCAUUUAUUUGAUGUACAAAUGCAGAUGAUCAUAACCAGUCGGUAUUAUUGUUAGGGAAAAAACCUUUAUACUUAGUCUUAUAUACUUGCUGUGUUUAUUUCCAAUUAAAUCAAGACAAAUGAUCUUUUAUAAGUUAUUUAUUUUAUAAUAAAUUAUUGUUAUUAAUUUAAUUAACACAUUAAGAUCUAUUUGUCUAGAUUUGAUUGGAUAUGCCAAACAUUAGUUAAUUCCUUCCACAUUAGUAAACAUUUCUCUAUAAAUUAUAUUCAUAAUGGUAGACUGGUAGAAUCUUGAAAAGGAACAAGUAGAAAUUGAUAAGUGGAAGAAAAUGUUAAGAAGAGUAAAUGGAUAUUUUUUAGAAUCAGAAUCUAAUUCUAGAAGUUAGGAGUAUCUCCAAAUAUGUUUGAAUAAUAUAUUUAUGACAAGACACAAAAACUAACUAUAACCAUCAAGUCUUAUCCUUAAGAAAUUGAAAAUAACAACAUAUAACUGAAAACUGAAAUGAAAUCCAUAAAACAUAAACAAUAUCACAUAGGAAUGCCAUGUCUCUUCCUGGAAUAAACCAACAAGGGACAUUGGUUCCCAUCAUUACCCUCCCCUAUGAGAACCGCCUCCACAAGGUGGAAUGCAGGAAAUUGCGAGGCAAUGAGAUCAUGAUCUUCCCAAUUAGAUUCUUCAAGAGGUCUGUUUUUCUGCUGAAUCAACAAUUCCAGGAGUCAAGUGCAGAACCUUAGCAGGUUCCACUUGAAAUUCCCAAUCUUUUGAAAUGGGUAAGGGAGGCAGUGGUGCUUGUGAAUCAUACCCUUGAGCUAGUUUAAGAAGUGAAACAUGAAAAACUGGGUAUACGUUAGCUCCUAGAGGGAGUUGUAACCCAUAAGCCGCUUUACCAACUUUGCUUAACACCGGAUAGGGCCCAAAUAAUUGAGGAGAAAGCUUUUCAAAAUGUCUUUUGGCCAUAGGUUGCUGACGAUAGGGCUGUAAAUGGAGAAAUACCAUGUCUCCAUGCUCAAAUUCUGCAUCCCUUCUUUUAGAGUUAGCUUGAGCCUUCAUAUGAAGUUGAGCUUGUGUCAAAUUUUCUUUGAUAGUUUGUAAAAAUGCAUCCCUUUAUGCAAUUUUUUUUAUCUAAAUCAGCAAUUCUGGUGUCACCCUUUGCAUAUGGAAGUACAAUUAUGGAGUACGAAUAUAAAUAAUGGUUGUGUCAUUAUUAUGCUAUUAUUAGUUGUUGAAUCUGUGUUAAAGGUUUGCAAAUGCAGGUCUCUAUUGGGUAACUCGAUGAAUGAUGUUGUCCUAGUUUAAACCUUAAAUUUUGAAGCAUUUGCGAUGCCUCCUCAUUUUUUUAGAAGGCAAGUCAAAGGCUUGAGAAAGUUACGAAACACAAAAAAGACAGACUACUGCACCUCCAGGUUGUUGGAGGUACCAUUAAAUGUAGCUAAGUCAUCAAUAAAGAAAUUAAAACAGUCAAAAGGAACUCCCCAGUGAAGGGUUGGUUCAAAGUCUCCUGAAUGAGCGUUCCUCACCAUUUGAUCAGCACACUUUAUAGUUUCCUUGUAAGCAUGAUGAAUACGAACAUCUUCCUCUUCAGCUAGAGCAAAUUGUAUGCUCUGGAUGACAUUUCAAAUGACUAGACUUUCAAAUGAUCUCUAAUUACGUUGAACAUUUUGAUCAAUAUUUGCUGUCAUAUGGGUGACAUGGCUUCUGCAUUCUCUUCAUUGGGGAAUAUUUUCAAGUGGGGUUAUUGACUGGUACCGUAAAAAUGUAUAUGAUGAUGAAAGGACUCUGUGGAAGAUAUAGAGAAAGCACUAGACCUUCACGGGAUUUUUCUUACACUCAGUUACUCAUGGUUUCUUUGUUAACGGGCUAUGUAAAACAGGAAAAAUGGGAGCUGCUGUUAAAUUGGUACAAAUGAUGGGGGGAAAGAGAUUUAAAAUUAAGCCUGAUUUGUUUAUAUAUUACAUGGUCGUGAAUGCCCUUUGUAAAGAUGGCCUGGUAAGUGAGGCAUGUAAAUAGUGUUCUCAAAUGAUCAGGCAGGGAUUUUUCUCCUGAUAUUUUAAUCUUCAACGCUCUAA